UUAAAUAAAACAAACUUUACUUUAUGUUACAAUGUAAUGAUAAUCUUUGUUCUUGUGGUGACAUUCAACAAAAUAAUUUAUAACUAUAGAACAUAAAAAAGUGUUCGAAACAUGUUUUCCCCAAAAUUAUAAUGUAAAAACAAUUAGUUUGGUAAAUACAAAGCACACAACAAGGGUGGAACUUUAAGAAAACAAUGGAAUGAAAUCACAAUUUGUUAUUCCUUUGAAAAUAAUGAUAGACUGAUGUUCUGAAAAAAGUUUCCAUUGGUUUCUUUUCUAGAACUGUGACCAACUUCACAUCUUCAUAGAUCACUGUGGCGAAGGGAACUAGUGUCGAAGGUGAAGUUGAUGAUGAUGAAGACUCUAAAACCCAGGAAGAUGACAAGUUUCACGAAGGUCCUUUGUUUCCGAACAGUUUAAUGAAGAAUGUUCACCUGCAGAAGAAGAACCGCAACGAAAGAGGAUGCAUGACGCAGCUUGUCUACCAUGUACCUCUGGAUCUGUGUCCCCUACAACAGUGCCGAAAAGUCGCCCAAAGAAGAGGGUUUACAGUCAAAUGCAAACUGUUUGGGAAAAAAUGGAACAGGAUUACAAGGCAGAUGCUAAGCAAAUAGAAGAAAUUGAGCGAGAGAUACGGGCCAAGAAGGAAGUUUUACAUAAUGAUGGCAGAAAAGAUCGCUACAUUUCCACGAAAGCAACAAUUGUAGAUGGAGGGACAGAUAUGGAAUAUGUACAUGAAACUGGAACAGUCGAAAGAUAAUGAAGAUAUACACCAAUUGCCAACGCCACAAUCACUACAUGCACGGUUUGAAAGGCCAAGCGUACCCUCGUCACCUACAGUACAAACCCAACAGACCGAUCGCAACUCGUUUGACACUUUGAAUUAUUGUUUGCAGGAAGCAAUCAUAGCCAUCAAUAACUAUGAAUAAAAUCCUGUACAUCAAGUUACUAACAGACGAUUUGGAGAUUUACAACUGUCUUGGAUGUUAAAUUUUCAUUUUCUUGUUUUCAUUUUGAAUUUGCAUUACUGGUCGAGUAGUCAUUGUUCACCCGAUCAUGUGUGUGACUGAAUGCAACAUUCUAUAUCGUAUUCUAUGUUGUGUUGUUUUGAUGAUAAUACAAAUAAAGUCAUUUUAUAAAUAAA